AGCCGAGCGGUAGAGAUUCUUCGGAAUCUUGAGAGCGGCGCACGGGUGCGGAACACGUGUGCAACCUACCUUUAUCAGGGGGAUAGCCUUUCGAAAGGAAGAUUAAUACCCCAUAAUAUAUUGAAUGGCAUCAUUUAAUAUUGAAAACUCCGGUGGAUAGAGAUGGGCACGCGCAAGAUUAGAUAGUUGGUGAGGUAACGGCUCACCAAGUCAAUGAUCUUUAGGGGGCCUGAGAGGGUGAUCCCCCACACUGGUACUGAGACACGGACCAGACUCCUACGGGAGGCAGCAGUGAGGAAUAUUGGACAAUGGGUGAGAGCCUGAUCCAGCCAUCCCGCGUGAAGGACGACGGCCCUAUGGGUUGUAAACUUCUUUUGUAUAGGGAUAAACCUUUCCACGUGUGGAAAGCUGAAGGUACUAUACGAAUAAGCACCGGCUAACUCCGUGCCAGCAGCCGCGGUAAUACGGAGGGUGCAAGCGUUAUCCGGAUUUAUUGGGUUUAAAGGGUCCGUAGGCGGACUCGUAAGUCAGUGGUGAAAUCUCAUAGCUUAACUAUGAAACUGCCAUUGAUACUGCGGGUCUUGAGUAAGGUAGAGGUAGCUGGAAUAAGUAGUGUAGCGGUGAAAUGCAUAGAUAUUACUUAGAACACCAAUUGCGAAGGCAGGUUACCAUGUCUUAACUGACGCUGAUGG
rnacentral:rRNA from 1 species